CAGUAGGUGCAAAUCCUACCUAAGUAAUUUACUGUUCACUUAGAAGAGUUACUGACAGUGAUCGCCGUGAGGUGGAUAGCUGAAGCUCAGUGAUCUCAAAUAACCAAGCCGUAAUACGC
rfam:Flammeovirga sp. MY04 chromosome 1, complete sequence.